CCUGGGGCAGUGCAGCCACCUGACCAGAGGAACUACUGAUCCAGGAGGUAUUCUAAUACCAGUGGCCGGUUUGGAAUCAUAGACUGAACCUGACCUUUACUAUAGCAGGGGAUCAGCUUCUGCUCAGCACCUCUCCUCUCUUCCCUAUCUCCACUUUCCUUCUGCCUUCGUUACACUGAGUCCCUACAACCAACACCUGCUGGGAAGCAACGGACAGUACAGGAGGGUUCCUUUGGUGUGUCCUCCUGUGUCUCCUGCCACCAGCACCUGCCACCAUUUCUUCAACGUGUCUGAGCAGAGAUGCGUGUGCUCCCCUCGCUGGUUAAAAUUUUGGGGUAUGGGUUACUUUCAUCUGUUUCAGAGCUGUCUCAACCUGGCUGUGACCAGCCCAGUUCAUGUGGCAGUUCAUGGCCUCCUGCCACACAGGUCACCCCUGCAGUCCCCUCUGCCAGGCCAGUUAUGCCCAGUACAGGCAUUCUUGUGGGGCAUGAAGAGUGUCCUAGCUUACCCUCCAGAUCCCUGUAAAAUACAGAAAGCU